rnacentral:rRNA from 1 species
CCCUUAGAUGUUCUGGGCUGCACGCGCGCUACACUGAAGCUAUCAACACGUUUUCCCUCCCUGAGAAGGGCGGGUAACCUUUUGAAUCAGCUUCGUGGUAGGGAUCGGGGCUUGCAAUUGUUCCCCGUGAACCAGGAAUUCCUAGUAGACGCGAGUCAUAAGCUCGCAUCGAUUAAGUCCCUGCCCUUUGUACACACCGCCCGUCGCUACUACCGAUUGAACGUUUUAGUGAAGCAUUUGGACCGACGCAUCUCAGUUUAACCGCUGGUUUGUGUUGGAAAGACUUCCAAACUUGAGCGUUUAGAGGAAGUAAAAGUCGUAACA